rnacentral:rRNA from 1 species
CCUACGGGUGGCAGCAGUGGGGAAUAUUGCACAAUGGAGGAAACCCUGAUGCAGCGACGCCGCGUGAGUGAAGAAGUAUUUCGGUAUGUAAAGCACUAUCAGCAGGGAAGAACAUGACGGUACCUGACUAAGAAGCCCCGGCUAACUACGUGCCAGCAGCCGCGGUAAUACGUAGGGGGCAAGCGUGAUCGGGUUUUACUGGGUGUAAAGGGGGCGUAGACGGCCAGAAAAGUCAGAAGUGAAAGCCCAGGGCUCAACCCUGGGACUGCUUGUGAAACUGCCGGGCUGGGGUGCAGGAGAGGGAAGCGGAAUUCCUGGUGUAGCGGUGAAAUGCGUAGAUAUUAGGAGGAACACCAGUGGCGAAGGCGGCUUACUGGACUGUAACGGACGUUGAGGCUCGAAGCGUGGGGAGCAAACAGGAUUAGAUACCCCUGUAGUC